GACGAACGCUGGCGGCGUGCCUAAUACAUGCAAGUCGAGCGGAUUGAUUUGGAGCUUGCUCCAAUGAUGUCAGCGGCGGACGGGUGAGUAACACGUGGGUAACCUGCCUGACAGACUGGGAUAACGCUUGGAAACGAGUGCUAAUACCGGAUAGGCUCUUUGACCGCAUGGUUGAAGAGGGAAAGAAGCUAUCGCUUCACUGUUAGAUGGACCCGCGGCGCAUUAGCUAGUUGGUGAGGUAAUGGCUCACCAAGGCGACGAUGCGUAGCCGACCUGAGAGGGUGACCGGCCACACUGGGACUGAGACACGGCCCAGACACCUACGGGAGGCAG
rnacentral:rRNA from 1 species